rnacentral:lncRNA from 1 species
GUGUGGUUCCAGAAUCGGCGGACCAAGUGGCGCAAGCGGCACGCGGCAGAGAUGGCGUCGGCUAAAAAGAAGCAGGACUCGGAUGCCGAGAAGCUGAAGGUGGGUGGCUCAGACGCGGAGGAUGAUGACGAGUACAACCGGCCCCUGGACCCCAACUCCGAUGACGAGAAGAUCACGCGGCUUCUCAAAAAGCACAAACCCUCGAACUUGGCGCUUGUUAGCCCGUGUGGCGGCAGCGCGGGGGACGCCUUGUGAGGACGCGGCCAGGCCGGAGAACCCCGAGAACUGGGACUCGCGGCAUACCCCGACGCCAGCCGCCCAGCCGCAGUGUGUAUAUAUAUUUUUACAGAAUAAGUUAUAAAGCGGACGUUGGCGCGGCCUCGGCGUGAGGCGCGGAGUGCGGGGUUUGGGCCGAUCACUUUGUAUAAUCAAUAAAUUAUUUAACACGUC